rnacentral:rRNA from 1 species
CGCUGGCGGCGUGCUUAACACAUGCAAGUCGAACGGAAAGGCCCUGCUUUUGUGGGGUGCUCGAGUGGCGAACGGGUGAGUAACACGUGAGUAACCUGCCCUUGACUUUGGGAUAACUUCAGGAAACUGGGGCUAAUACCGGAUAGGAGCUCCUGCUGCAUGGUGGGGGUUGGAAAGUUUCGGCGGUUGGGGAUGGACUCGCGGCUUAUCAGCUUGUUGGUGGGGUAGUGGCUUACCAAGGCUUUGACGGGUAGCCGGCCUGAGAGGGUGACCGGCCACAUUGGGACUGAGAUACGGCCCAGACUCCUACGAGAGGCAGCAGUGGGGAAUAUUGCACAAUGGGCGGAAGCCUGAUGCAGCAACGCCGCGUGCGGGAUGACGGCCUUCGGGUUGUAAACCGCUUUCGCCUGUGACGAAGCGUGAGUGACGGUAAUGGGUAAAGAAGCACCGGCUAACUACGUG